CACGUAGGGUGCGAGCGUUGUCCGGAAUUAUUGGGCGUAAAGAGCUCGUAGGCGGUGUGUCACGUCGGCCGUGAAAACCUACAGCUUAACUGUGGGCGUGCGGUCGAUACGGGCAGGCUGGAGUUCGGUAGGGGAGACUGGAAUUCCAGGUGUAGCGGUGAAAUACGUAGAUAUCUGGAGGAACACCGGUGGCGAAGGCGGCAUCCUGGACCGGUAUUGACGCUGAGGCGCGAAAGCUGGAGGUACAGCAAGGGGAUUAA
rnacentral:rRNA from 1 species